CACAGAUAAGACUUGCCUUCCACUGGUUUGAAGAUUAAAUUAUUGUGUUACAGUGCCCUCAUCUCUACCGACUGAACUCUGGUAUUGAACUCAACAACCAAAGAAAACGUUCAGUUUGCACUAACCGAAGUACAGAGAGCAAUGCUUUCUGUGAUGCACUUGUGGGAUGUAGGCAUUGAUGACUGGACCAGAAUGUUUAACCCAUCCUAAACUGCCCUUGAGAAAGUGAUGGUGAGCUGCCUUCUUGAUCUGCUGCAGUCCAUGCACUGUCAAUAGACUCAUGCCAUCAGGGGAAGAAUUCCAGGAUUUUCACACAUGAUAGUGAA